CUCAGGGUCCUGCCUCAGAACUCUGAUUCCAAAACCAAGGGGCCUAUGCUCCUUGUGGCCACAGCAGACUCCCUAGUCCUGCCCUCAUGGGGACUUUUACAAACUGCCUCCCUCCCUCCUAAGCUACAAGCUCCUAUUUCUCCAACAACUGGGACAAUCAGGAGUGACAUUUUUUUCUGGCCCCACCUCACACAGUCCCUGUGGGGUUGGGGGGAAACCCGACCUUGCCUUCUGGCUCAGCAAAGCACUCAGGUGGCCUUGUGGGACACUCUUCCCAUCCUAGACACCUCCUUGUUCUACCACACAAGCCAUUGAACGCACAUGUCCCUUUCUCAGAUGUGAUGCCCUCUACCUUACCUGAACAUUGGAAGCCUCUGGGGGCAUUAAGUACAGAUGGAAACCUAAAGGCCUGGCCAGUCUUACGGUUGCUCAGGUCUAAUCUGAGUUGCCCCAAGUGUUUUCCUCCUUCAUGCCCAUGUCCACCAAUCAGCAAGUUUGCAUGUCCUACUGACCAAAGAUCUCCAGAUCUCCACCCCCACCCCACUGCUGUGUCUGCUCGGUCCAAACUGGAUCGGCUGCUGUGUCCAUCUUCCGGCUCCUCUUGUCCUACUGCGCUCUGGCUGAGACUUCAAGCACUGCCCUGAAGAGACAUGGAGAGCAUAAACACCUUUGUCUUCUUUCUCGGAGUUUUUCCUCACUCGCUACAAUGUUGGCUGCAGAUUUCUUGUGUGUAGUCUUUAUUAU